rnacentral:rRNA from 1 species
UACGUAGGGGGCAAGCGUUGUCCGGAAUUAUUGGGCGUAAAGAGCGUGUAGGCGGUCCGGUAAGUCAGCUGUGAAAGUCAAGGGCUCAACCCUUGAAAGCCGGUUGAUACUGUCGGGCUAGAGUCCGGAAGAGGCGAGUGGAAUUCCCGGUGUAGCGGUGAAAUGCGCAGAUAUCGGGAGGAACAUCAGUGGCGAAAGCGGCACCCUGGCAUUAGCCUGACGCUCAGGUGCGAAAGCGUGGGGAGCGAACGGG